rnacentral:rRNA from 1 species
GACGAACGCUGGCGGCGUGCCUAACACAUGCAAGUCGAGCGGUUCUUAAGCUGUAGUUUACUAUAGCUUAAGAAUAGCGGCGAACGGGUGAGUAACACGUGGGCAACCUGUCCGAAAGAUCGGGAUAACAGUCCGAAAGGGCUGCUAAUACCGAAUACGCUUACCGGGUCGCAUGAUCCGGUAAGGAAAGGUCGGCAACUUCCGCUUUCGGGUGGGCCCGCGUCCCAUUAGCUAGUUGGUAGGGUAACGGCCUACCAAGGCAACGAUGGGUAGCUGGUCUGAGAGGAUGGUCAGCCACACUGGGACUGAGACACGGCCCAGACUCCUACGGGAGGCAGCAGUGGGGAAUCUUGCGCAAUGGGCGAAAGCCUGACGCAGCGACGCCGCGUGAGCGAGGAAGGCCUUCGGGUCGUAAAGCUCUGUCAGAGGGGACGAUAAUGACGGUACCCUCAGAGGAAGCCCCGGCUAACUACGUG